GACGAACGCUGGCGGCGUGCCUAAUACAUGCAAGUCGAACGCAGUGGGGACGGGUGAGGAACACGUGUGUAACCUCGCAUCAGAGGGGAUAACACUUGGAAACAGGUGGUAAACCGUGAGGGAUGGAUGGAGCCGCGGGGCAUGAGCUAGGUGGUGAGGUAACGGCGCACCAAGGCCACGAUGCAUAGCCGACCUGAGAGGGUGAUCGGCCACACGGGGACUGAGACACGGCCCAGACUCCUACGGGAGGCAGCAGUAGGGAAUCUUCGGCAAUGGACGAAAGUCUGACCGAGCAACGCCGCGUGAGUGAAGAAGGUUUUCGGAUCGUAAAACUCUGUUGUUAGAGAAGCGGUAUCUAACCAGAAAGCCACGGCUAACUACGUGCCAGCAGCCGCGGUAAUUC
rnacentral:rRNA from 1 species